rnacentral:rRNA from 1 species
AUUGAACGCUGGCGGCAGGCCUAACACAUGCAAGUCGAGCGGAGCGGCGGACGGGUGAGUAAUGCCUAGGAAUCUGCCUGGUAGUGGGGGAUAACGUCCGGAAACGGGCGCUAAUACCGCAUACUAUCAGAUGAGCCUAGGUCGGAUUGGCUAGUUGUGGGGGUAAAGGCCUACCAAGGCGACGAUCCGUAACUUGUCUGAGAGGAUGAUCAGUCACACUGGAACUGGUACCCGGUCCAGACUCCUACGGUAGGCAGCAGUGGGGAAUAUUGGAAAAUGGGGGAAGGCCUGAUCCAGCCAUGCCGCGGGUGUGAGGAAGGUCUGCGGAUUGUAAAGCACUUUAAGUUGGGAGGCGUUACCAACAGAAUAAGCACCGGCUAACUUCGUGCCAGCAGCCGCGGUAAUAC